rnacentral:rRNA from 1 species
GAUGAACGCUGGCGGCGUGCCUAAUACAUGCAAGUCGAGCGAACAGAUGAGGAGCUUGCUCCUCUGACGUUAGCGGCGGACGGGUGAGUAACACGUGGAUAACCUACCUAUAAGACUGGGAUAACUUCGGGAAACCGGAGCUAAUACCGGAUAAUAUAUUGAACCGCAUGGUUCAAUAGUGAAAGACGGUUUUGCUGUCACUUAUAGAUGGAUCCGCGCCGCAUUAGCUAGUUGGUAAGGUAACGGCUUACCAAGGCAACGAUGCGUAGCCGACCUGAGAGGGGGAUCGGCCACACUGGAACGGAGACAGGGUCCAGACUCCUACGGGAGGCAGAAGUAGGGAAUCUUCCGCAAUGGGCGAAAGCCUGACGGGGCAACGCCGCGUGGGUGAUGAAGGUCUUCGGAUCGUAAAACUCUGUUAUUAGGGAAGAACAAAUGUGUAAGUAACUAUGCACGUCUUGACGGUACCUAAUCAGAAAGCCACGGCUAACUACGU